rnacentral:misc_RNA from 1 species
GCUUCACCACCACUCCAAGCCUCUAAAAAUAAAAAAAAAGUCAGUGCCCGGCCAUGAAUUCGCGAAGUGCGAUUCUGGAAGGAAGAAUUCAGAGACAGUCCAGUCCUACUGUGAUAUACAGAAAAAUAAAAAUAACAAAAGAAAGCAGAAAUUAAGUAAAUGGAAUUGAUUGGGUUCAUUGCUCCAUCAACAAGAAGGAAAAUGGCCAACCCACUUGCAAAAUCAAAUUAA